GGCGGCGGCGGUGCUUACAGCCUGAGAAGAGCGUCUCGCCCGGGAGCGGCGGCGGCCAUCGAGACCCACCCAAGGCGCGUCCCCCUCGGCCUCCCAGCGCUCCCAAGCCGCAGCGGCCGCGCCCCUUCAGCUAGCUCGCUCGCUCGCUCUGCUUCCCUGCUGCCGGCUGCGCCAUGGCGUUGGCGUUGGCGGCGCUGGCGGCGGUCGAGCCGGCCUGCGGCAGCCGGUACCAGCAGUUGCAGAAUGAAGAAGAGUCUGGAGAACCUGAACAGGCUGCAGGUGAUGCUCCUCCACCUUACAGCAGCAUUUCUGCAGAGAGCGCAGCAUAUUUUGACUACAAGGAUGAGUCUGGGUUUCCAAAGCCCCCAUCUUACAAUGUAGCUACAACACUGCCCAGUUAUGAUGAAGCGGAGAGGACCAAGGCUGAAGCUACUAUCCCUUUGGUUCCUGGGAGAGUGAGUAUAAUUUGCCAUGUUACUUGAUGGCUGCUCUGUGGGAAUUAAGUUAUUUUCAUUAUCCAAUUUUGAUUCGUUACUUAUGAUUGUAUUGAUUAGUGAAAGUAGAGCUAAUUUUAAAAAUCAGGUACAUUUGCUUUUGGGAUAAUAAACUCAUCUCUUCUUAAAAAUGAUGAGGUAAAUUACUAGUCAGACCUGCUCAUUUUUCCUUCAUCUCUCCUAUUACCACUACUUUUUCAAGUCUCCUGGGAUGGCUGAAGUAUCUUGAAGCAGAAGCACACUAAUGUUUCCUUGAUUCUGCACACUUAAUAUUUUGCUGUUGGGUGGAUAGCUGCUAGGGAGGUCUAGGAAGAGAAUAAAUAUAUGCAAAUUUGUAGAAUUAAACUCAUAAGAGGGAUCUUCACAUUGAUUUAGAUGAACUCCGUUCUUCCAGCAGUCCAGAUCAUGUCAUUUGUGGGGACAUAGUGAGUUCAGAUUCCAUCUAGCCUGAUGUUGAUUCAUGGAGGUGGAGAUUGGGAUGCCAUAUAAACCAGUGGAGAUUAUUGGGCACUCUUGGUUCUUGAUGUCAGAUAUGUGAGUGCUGCAUUUGUCAUUUUGUAAAUAUUCAUCCAGAUUGAGGCUGAUGAAGGUAGGGCAUUGUGGGAGAAUGGAAGCAGGAUAAGUCCCCAGAAAUGCGGGGACCAUCAGGCCUCUAGGCUCUAUUCUAGCAAGUAACUGGAGUGAGUGAUGAGCAAGUACAGAAGCCUAGUCUGGGCAGUGUGAUGGCAUAGGCCCAGAUGUUCCCCUCUUGGCUUUAAGAUAGUAGACAGUUUGCAGACCACACCUACUGUGAGGAGCGAAGCUCCUAAAAUCAUUGCUUGGUAGAAAUAGUUUAUGAGCCCAAUCUAGGAUGAUCCUAAAUGGCGAUGAUGUGCAUUCAGUUCUUACAGGUACCAGGGAGAAACUAAAAACCCUAGUGUCUAAGGGCAAGACCAUCAUAAUGUAACUGCCGUAUAUUGGAAGCAAACCACAUGCUUGGUACUGUGCUUGAUGCUUUUAUAUAUUUUGUAUAUUGUUUCCAAUCUUCAUAGUAACCUUGAAAGGUAGAGAUUAUAUUAUCUCCAUUUUACAGAUGUGAAAAUUUAGGUCCAGAGAGAAAAAGUAAUUUUCCCAAAGUCAUAUGACUGAUAAGUAGCAGAAGUGAAAGUCAAACCCAGAUAUUCUAGAAUCCAAAGUCCUUGUUUGUUUCACUGUACUCUGCAGAUCUGUUGCAAUAUAUGGUAAAUAGAUCAGUAUGGAAAUUAGCUCUGAUUAAUCACAUAACUCUUCAGAAUACUUUCAUUUGAUACAAGUACAUAUUUAGGAACUUCUUAAAGGGCUCUAGUAUUCAGCAGACAUGUAUAAAGCACUUUUUAAAUAUAAGAUGCAGUAUAUUUUACAGUGGAUAGGUAAAAAGCUUUGUAUAAGGCAGUGUUCCUCAUUGUUAUUCAAAAGCCUAAAAUCCAACUAGGGUAAAGGGCCCACAAAUACUGAUAACUAAGACACAUAAGAGCAGUGGGCAUCAAGAACUGAAACUUUUUACUGGGUGAUCAUAGGGGAAAAUGAGAUUUGAUGUGGGCCCGGAGUUUUGAUGGGUAAGAACAUUCCAGAGGGAAAAAGGCACAGAAAGCAGGUGUGAAUUCAGCCAGGUGAAGGCAGUUCUGUGGAUGUAGUAAUUGGCUUUGUAUGAGCAAGAGUUUGUGAAGGGAGAUAGAAAGUCCUGACUACAACUGUUGUUUAUAGAAUCUUUGGAAUGUUAGAUGGGCGUAUUUAAACUUCAUAUGUAGCUUUUAGAGAAUCCUUCAGAGUUUUUGAGCAGGGGUAUGAGAGGACUUGUGUGGUGUUUUGGAAACAUUAACUUGGCAGCAAUUUCUAGGAUGCAUCAUGGUAGAAGAGAUACCAAGAGGACAGGAAGAACAGUUAGAAGGUGUUCGUAAUAUUAUUAGAUGUUACUUCCAUAUAUUUUUUGGAGUAUAUCUUUGAAUAGUUAUGC
rnacentral:lncRNA from 1 species